rnacentral:rRNA from 1 species
GACAGAGGGGGCAAGCGUUGAUCGGAAUUACUGGGCGUAAAGGGCGCGUAGGCGGCCUUCUAAGUCGAACGUGAAAUCCCCGGGCUCAACCCGGGAACUGCGUCCGAUACUGGAAGGCUUGAAUCCGGGAGAGGGAUGUGGAAUUCCAGGUGUAGCGGUGAAAUGCGUAGAUAUCAAGCGGAACACCGGUGGCGCAGGCGGCUUUCUGGACGAUUACUGACGCUGAGACGCGAAAGCGUGGGUAGCAAACAGG